AUUGAACGCUGGCGGCAUGCCUAACACAUGCAAGUCGAACGGCAACGCACUUUCGGGUUGCGAUGACUGGGGGACGGUUGAGUAAGUAAUAGGAAUGUAUCCGAACCUGGGGUUUCGGGUGGCGUCAGGUAUGUUAACUUACUAUAAGAUCGCAGGCUGCCUGCAGGGGACGGCAAGGGAUCGUCGGGGCGGUCGGGCUGGUGUUAGCCGAUGUCAGUGUAGGUAGUUGGGGGGGUAAAGGCCUACCAAGGCGACGAUCCGUAGCUGGUCUGAGAGGAUGAUCAGCCACACUGGAACUGAGACACGGCCCAGACCCCUACGGGAGGCAGCAGUGGGGAAUAUUGGACAAUGGGCGCAAGCCUGAUCCAGCCAUACCGCGUGGGUGAAGAAGGCCUUCGGGUUGUAAAGUCCUUUUGUUGGGAACGAAAAGCAUUCGUUUAAUACAAAGCGGUCAUGACGGUACCGAAAGAAUAAGCACCGGCUAACUACGUG
rnacentral:rRNA from 1 species